rnacentral:misc_RNA from 1 species
AGGGAUCAUUACCGAGUCUUCGUGCUCAAAACAACCCUUCUGUGGACUUGAAUAAAACCGUUGCCUCGGCAGGCGGCCCUACCUAACGGGCCAGAUAGCUCGGCUGCCUUCAGGGAGGCUUUCCUCCCUGAGGCGCUGGCGCCAGCCGCUGGCCCCAAACCAAAACUCUAGUAACUUUUACCUUCUGAGUUUUAAUGCAAGAAAUAAGUCAAAACUUUCAACAACGGAUCUCUUGGCUCUGGCAUCGAUGAAGAACGCAGCGAAAUGCGAUAAGUAAUGUGAAUUGCAGAAUUCAGUGAAUCAUCGAAUCUUUGAACGCACAUUGCGCCCGCUGGUAUUCCAGCGGGCAUGCCCGUUCGAGCGUCAUUUUAAUUCCUUCCCAGGAGGGAGCUUCUGUUUCUACAGAGGUUUCUGCUAGGGGUGUUGGCACCUGGCGCCGCCUAGGCGACCGGAGCCCAAAUGCAGUGGCGGACGCGCAAGCGGUCCCUAGCGCAGUAAACAAAAACUUCGCUCAGGAGGCUCGCAGCAGCGGACCACAGCCUAACGCAAAAAGCUUUUGGUUUUUUGCAACAAAAACUUGACCUCGGAUCGGGUAGGACUACCCGCUGAACUUAA